rnacentral:rRNA from 1 species
CACGUAGGGCGCAAGCGUUGUCCGGAAUUAUUGGGCGUAAAGAGCUCGUAGGCGGUCUGUUGCGUCCGCUGUGAAAACUCGGGGCUUAACCCCGAGCCUGCAGUGGAUACGGGCAGACUAGAGGUAGGUAGGGGAGAAUGGAAUUCCCGGUGUAGCGGUGAAAUGCGCAGAUAUCGGGAGGAACACCGGUGGCGAAGGCAGCGUCCUGGCCGAGCACUGACGCUCAGGCACGAAAGCGCGGGGAGCAAACAGG